UGGCUUAGUGGUAGAGCGCUUGCCUUACAUGCAUGAGGCCCUGGGUUCGAUUCCUCAG
rnacentral:tRNA from 1 species